GCCUAACUGUUACCAAGCAUUAAGUAUUUAGCAGCGUAGGUUGGUUUAAAAGAGGCCAAUGUGGUUACUUUGCAGUUUUUCAUAGUGAGCGCCUCUCAUGCAGAAGGAGCAGUUUGGGAGAAAGAUUUUUGCAGCUGCAUUUUGAAUGGCUAUAAUGGCUUUGUUUUGACUGGAGACAUUGGUCAGUGUUUGAGGCGGAGGCUGCUUAACCGUUUCAGUCACCUGUUUACAAUGGCUUCUUUAUAUUUAUCCUGAAUGCAAGGUGGCAGUUACACCCCACCCAUAAUAUCAGGGUUUAGCCUGACCCAUAACAUUUGUCAUAUACAGCACCUUUCAUCCAGAAGACAACAUGCUGUUUACUAAUUCUAUACAGAAAUCACUUCUUCUACUUUUGAAAGGCAGCCAUCUCGGGGGGGAAAUGCCGCAGGUGCUUAACAACGUUAUGCAACUACAUAAGACAGGAAGCCGAGGAGAAUGCCAUCAUGCAAGGAAAAUUAAGGACGCAGAAUAACGUGACAGCACCCGAUGGGUUAAACUGUGACAGAGGAAACCAGACUUCUCCUUCUGGGGUGUGACUGCGACUACAUCUGAAAGAUCAAAAUUAAAAAAGAAGCUUCACACUCUGAGAUGAUUAUGGAAGGAAAUUAUGCAACAAAGAGAGGGCUUAUUGGAACUGUUGUGUUACCUCCCAGCCCACUGCCUCCUUGUUUUCCACAUCUUCCAGCCUCCCAACCAUGGCUGCUGGGAGUAGACUUGGAUGAAAUGGACAUGUUCUGCUUUUCAGGAUUUUGCUCCGCUGAAAAAAGGUUGUAACGAGCGGCAUCCAGAUACGGAAUUGAGUGAGAUUCCUGCAGCGCACC